CGGGGCGGGGCGCCGGUAGGAGCCGGGGAUGGCUGCGUCCCUCAGGCUGUCUUCCUUCUGGUGUCUCCUCCAGGUGGAGCGACUGCGGUCCGCAGCGGCCCCUCCCGUCCUCCUGGAUCCUGCUUCCAGAGAUGGACACUAAUCCCAAGAGGAGGAAUCAAAGAGGGGUAUCUAGGUCGGUCGGACCCUUAGGACACAUCACUGACCUGCCUGCCUGUAAACGCCCGGAAGUUGCUGGCAGUCCCGCGUUAGGUUGCGCGUGCGCACUGCUCUUGGCCGCGUAGGUUGUGACGCAUGCUCGGCCAGACCCCCGCGAAGCUGUGGGCUCAGGGACCUGCGCCCAUGGACCUGUAACAGAAAUUACUGUAAUGUUCUACUGAACAUCUGCCACGCGAUGGCGAGUCACACGGGCACACACGAACACUCGCUCAGAUUGUUGCCCUGCGCUCGUGUGAAUGUACGGAUCCGGGAGGAAUUGGGACCUAAACAGACAAGCCCUCGAGGCGGUCCCGGCAGCCCUGAGGAGGGAGCCUUCACCUCUUCCUACCCACCCAGUUUACUUCUUGUGGAGGAUAUUUGCAGGGACAUAGCCCACUGGGAGAACUAGCAGAUACGGCUUUACAAGUUUUUUAUUGCCUUUCAGCCCCCAUUCCGCUCCCCUUCCUUGCGCUGCGUCGGGAAAGGGAAUGGGAUCCCUAGGGGUGCAAAUACAGGCCAAGUCAGGGAGAGCUGUGGCUCCUGAGGGCCUCCUCUGGCUCCUCCGGGAAGUUUUGGGCCCUCAAGGAGCAGCUUCGCGGGCCAGGAGGGCGGUUAGCUGCCCUUGGCAUCUUUUUGGGGAAAUCAGUUGGCCUGUCGCGGGUCGAACUCUGUCCCCCUUGACUGCCUGCCAUCUUCUGGAGAAACCCCUAAUAGGCUGCUGUGUCUGGUUAUGCUUUAGUGAGAAAAUUAGGCUUUUUAAGCUUUCUCAUUUCCUACCCUACCACGUUGUAAUUCACAAAAGUAAAAAGUAAAUCACUACAUGAUA
rnacentral:lncRNA from 1 species